rnacentral:lncRNA from 1 species
CAACUCAUGAUUCCUUUGCUGUUUCUUUUUCUCUCCUCUAUCCAGUUGCAGAGUGGAGGAAGAGAGCAGCUUUAGUGGGUACCUGACAUCCAGCCAGGGUCAACCCACUACAGCAACCAUGAGGGCAAGCAGACAUUAACACCAGACCCUCUUUGGCACCUGUCCAGAGAGCAGAAACCGAAUCUGUGGGAAAUCCACCUUCCAAGUUGUUUUGGAGUCAUAACAUUUAGAAACCUAGACUGCUGCAGUCCUGGAUAGACUGACCAGGGUGCUCAUCAGCUGCAUCGCCGAUAUUGACAAUGACAAAUCCCUUCCACAGCUCAGGAGAACCUUAAAUAAAUUCUCCCAAGACACUAGCA